rnacentral:misc_RNA from 1 species
GACGAAGAACGUAGCGAAAUGCGAUAAGUAAUGUGAAUUGCAGAAUUCAGUGAAUCAUCGAAUCUUUGAACGCACAUUGCGCCCAUUAGUAUUCUAGUGGGCAUGCCUGUUCGAGCGUCAUUAAGUCCACUUAAGCCCUGCUUAGUGUUGGGAGACUGCUCCAGCGGUGCUACCCUGUAGCUACCCUGCAGCUCCUCAAAGACAGCGGCGGAGUUGUGGUAUCCUCUGAGCUUAGUAACUUGUUCUAGCUUUCGAGUACACCACUUCCCCUGCCGUAAAACCCUUAAUUUUUAAUGGUUGACCUCGGAUCAGGUAGGAAUACCCGCUGAACUUAAGCAUAUCAAUAAGCGGAGGA